AUCACCUAAGAAUCUUGUUAAAAAUGUAGGUUCUGAGUCAUUAGGUCUGGGUCAGGGUCUGAGAUUUUGCAUUUCUAGCAAGCUCCCAGGUGAUGCCGA
rnacentral:pre_miRNA from 1 species